rnacentral:rRNA from 1 species
CCCUUAGAUGGUCUGGGUGGCACGCGCGCUACAAUGAUGCAUUCAAAAAGUCUUCUGACCUUAGAAGGUUGGGUAUUCUCCAAAGUGCAUCGUGAUGGGAAUAGUUUAUUGCAAUUUUUAAUCUUGAACGAGGAAUUCCUAGUAAGUACAGGUCAUCAACUUGUGUUGAUUACGUCCCUGCCCUUUGUACACACCGCCCGUCGCUCCUACUGAUUGAGUGUCUCGGUGAAUUCUUUGAUCUUCUGUCGAUUCAGUUCACUGAUCCGACGGUGGAAAGUUGAAUGAACUUCGUCACUUAGAGGAAGGAGAAGUCGUAACA